GUUAAUUUGAAUUGAGAGUUGACAAUUGAUUCAUUUUAUACACUCCUUGUUAAGACAAUUUACACCAAAGAUUUUUAAAAGUGUAAACACGAGCGUCUACUUUAAUGAAGUUUUGUAACUGACGAGAUCAACUUUCCUUUACAAUGUAUCAGAAGUUUCUUUUUGUCAUUUAAAUUAUGAUUAACUUUCAAUUUUAUCUUCAUUUCCAUCACUAAUAGUUGCAUCAAAUAGAGGAAGUUGACACUUUUUUCCUGUUCCUGACUUUUGUCCUUCAGUUUGUUGUUUCAGAAGCCAAAGUUACAUUGAAGAGAGAAAAAAAAACACAGUGAAAACAAUACAGAACAUGAAAAUAAAAUAAAGAUUUGGUAAGAAAGUUAAUGGGACAUUACAGCUGCCAUGAUGUGAAAAAUGUAAUGUAACCUGAAUAAUGUUUUGUAACUUGAAAUAGAUCGGCUUGAUUUGGAGAAAACUGAGUCACUCACAAAAAAAAUGAGAUAAAGAAUGAAAAGAGAAAAGUUGAGAAGAAAUUGAUAGCUUUACAGUUGUUAAGCGAGAAAAAAUUUUCUUAUCUAGACUGUGGAUGACAAAAAGGGUAAAACUAAAUGUUUUUAUGCAACGAGAAAAAAAAGCAAAGAGUAACCAGAAAAAUGAAGUUGAAUCAUAAAAGAAGGAAAAAUGGCUCCAAUUUUGCCAUACAUCAACUAAUUUGAAUCCAACUACCCGGAAUAUAAACGUUUGUCAACUCUUUUUUGGUUCAAUAUGCACUGGAUCGAGCCACUCCUGUUCUCAUUGACAUUAACUGUGAAAAGAAAAGAAAUUUUUGGUUGUUUAAUAUGUCAAUUUAAAGAUUGUCAUUAAAUGUGCUUUUCCCUGACAUAAGUGAAACAAUAAAUUCCAAUGGGGUGUUAAGGUAAUAAUCAAAGGAUUGAGGAGAAUCGAAAAGCAAAGAAAGGGUAAAAUCUGUCAUCACAAAUGGAAACCAAAAGAGAGAGAAGAUAAAAGAAUGAAGAUUCAAUUCCCAUGUCAUCAUCAUCAACCAUGUCAUUAUUGGAUUGGUCCCAAAUUAUUUAGGAUCACUUAUCAAAUAUUAUUGUCAUAUUAUUACUACUACUGCUGCUGCUGGUGUCUAAUGUACCCUGUUUAUAAUAAAAGGACCAAUGAUUAAUCGGAAGCAAAGAUCUACACUUAGUUGAAGUAAAUUAAUCCUUUUGUUAGAUAACCACUAGACGAUGCUUGGCACAAUAAUAAAACAUGCAAGAGUUAAUCCAUCAUUUACUCUUACUGUCCAUUACGAGAAAUACUGGCAAAUAAGAUGAAUAAAAAGGAGGAAAAAGAAGAUAUAACAAGAAAGAAAAGAAAUAAUAUAAUGGAAAAAGUUGAUGAAAUAAGAGACGAUGGAUAAUUAUUAUCUAAACACUGUAUAAAUAUUAGAUAUUCACAGGAAUGAGGAGAAAAUACGAAAACGUUGAUUCAAGAAAAAGAAUGGAAUUUCAAGACAUAAUGAAGCUAUCCAAAGUGGCCUUUAAUUUACUUCCCAUUAACAUGCUUUUUACUUUGUAAGUGAGAUCUUUCUCCAUACCUUACAAAGUAUUUCUUUCAAAAGCCUCAACAUCUCAAGAUAACUUGAAAGGACUGGGAAGACAAGCUUGGAUGAAUGAAUGAUUCCAGAAUAGUUCUCAUAGAUAAAAGAGAAAUAUCCUUUCUUUGCAUGAAUACAAGACAAUCUGAUGAGUGAACCAUUUACUCAAUACAACGUUAUAUUAAUAUCAUUUGGAGGAAGAUGUCAUUGAUUCAAGUGAAGAACCUAGGAUUAGAGGGAAAAAUGAAAGAUUGGGUCAAUCUAAAUAACUGAAUACUAGUUGUUUAGCUAACGUUGAAUGAGCCAUUAAUUCAAAUGAACUCAUCAAGGUAUAACCGUUCUAAUGUGACUGAAACUCACGGACUCUUCUAUUGGUGAAAUAUUUUGUCGACAAGCUCAAGCUUAUAUAAAGCUCAGGCUCGUUUUGUAUCCAUUUUUGUACACAGGUAGCCCAGGAUACGCAACCUGGUCGCAAGUUUCUCGAAUCAGAAAUUAUGCCAUCAUAUGGAGUAAAAUACUGGCUUCUUGUAAAGUUGGUUUCUGGUACAUAACUUUGAACCUGAAGCUAAUUCACAAUCCAAAUGAAAGGAUUUAAUAGAAAAUGUUUCCAUUGUGAGACAUUCAGCUGCUACAAUUAAAUUUAGUGAACCGUUAAGAUUGAAAUCUCAAUUUAUUCAAUGUUCUUUUUGUGAUAAUCAAAUGGUCAUCCAAGUCAUUAUCUUUUUAUUUUAUUCAAAGGUAAUAUAAUCGUAACUUGCGGACUGAUUGAAAUGCUCUCAACUCAAUCAUGAAGACUUACUUUCAUUACUUUGUUAGUCUGUUCACGGAAAUCCCAACUUGACUCAAUCUUGACUCAAUCACUCAAUCUACUCUUCACCUGUUGCCAAAAUUACCGACAAAAAAUGACUGCAGUUCUUUUGUUUCGUUUUAGUUGCCCUUGUCACCUUGAAUAAGUAAUGAUGAUUGGAAAUGCUAAUGGCUAACACCAAGUUCAUGCAAAUAGAAAUUGAAACAAGCGGAAUUCAUUCGAUUCACGCCUAGUAGCAUGAUUAUCAAAUAAGAACAAGAUUUAAACAGUAAAAAGGUUAGUGAGUGCUCAGCACACCCAACUAACCUGAGUGACUUGGUCACCUAACCGAUAAACAGUUAGAGUAACAUUGACACCCCCUAUGCCAUACUAAGCUUGACAAGCUACAGCCUACGCUGUUUACGGUUAGGCUACUGGUGUUGAGCCUGAGACCUCUGGGUGAAAACCAGGAAUUUAAGCCUCAGGACUACAACCAGUUACCCACUUGAGAUGUGAGUUAAAUGUUAGAUAUUGCUGGGCAAAAACAAAAACUCAAAUUAAAAACUGUAUCCAUAUUUACCAAAAUUUACCCAUCCUGAUGAUCAUCGAAAUACCUUCAGGGAUUCAAGUUUUAAUACACUUUUACAACAACAUUGCAACAUUUCUGGAAACCAAUUGGAAAAAAAGUUCAAAACCUGUGAUUGAGUUGGAUUGGCUCACAAAGAGAUUCAUGAUAACAUCAAGAUGAAAUUUGCAUGGAUUGAUGAAAGAUUUAAGUGUUUAUUGUGAAAAUUUAAACAUCAUCUUAAACCGACUAUUUUGUCCCCUGCUAUUAUUUAAAAUGGUUAGCGUGAUUACCAUUUUUUACCUUCUGUUUAGGAAAACCAUUUUUCCAUAUUUUCUAUCAUAUAUAAACUUGACAUCAAUAUACAAGUUGAGAGAGGGAAAACAAAGACUGAGAUGGAUCGAGAUGCUGCUGAUGAUGCUGAUGACUACAUGGUUUUUGGUGAAUAAUAUGGAUAGAGUAGUUGAAUUGGUGCAGAAAAGGAAAGAAAAGAAUGGUGAAAUGUUAUCAGAAAAGAUAAGAUUGGUGAGCCAAACUAUGGAAAGAUGAAAGAUUUUGAGCAAGAAAAAAGAGUUUUUUUUUCCUCUUUAAAAGUAAAGAUGGUACAGAAAAUGGCAAAGAAUAAGGAUAUUCUUGUAAAGAUGAAAAAGAAAAAUAAAGAAUAGGAAAAGGAAAUGACAAAGUUACCAAGGAAAGAGAAAAGAAGGAGGAAAAAUGGCAUAAAGCGAGAGAUGGAGAUGCAUAGGAAAGUCUGGAGAUGAUGAUGAUUAUGAUGGUGAUGAUGAUCAAGUGAAGAGUCAAGUAAAGAAAUGAAAAAGAAGUGGAUGAAAAAAAUAUAAAAGCAAAACUUGGUUAUUAUACACAGACAGAGGAAUGGUUCAAUGAAUAAUCGUUGAUGUGAAUCGUAGCUUUUUUGACAACAUACGAUGGAAAUGAUAGAAAUAUUCUUGUUCGUCCAAACUCUUCAACACGAUUUACAGAUGAAACAGAUGAGAGAAUAAGACUUUGGUUCCUAAUUUUCAUUUUGGGCUUUCUUCAACGGCUUUCCACUCUUCAAAUCAAUAAUGUUAUCAAGUCUGGUUCAAAAAUUUACAGUUUCAUGGAAAUUCUCAUUCAACUUUUCGCUUCUUCUCUCUUAUCUAGUAUCAUCUUAUUUUGCCUCCAAGACUGUUUUUGAAACACAAGAGAUAAUAAAGAUGAUUGAGAUGAAGAAAGGAUCAAAUGAUAUUAUUAAUGCUUUGGAAAGAGAGUGGUAAAGAAGAGAAAAGAUAAACAAGCCCAAACAUGGUGAACCUUUUUUUUGCUGUUUUUACUUGGAAGAGAAACAAAAGACAAGGAAAAUGUUUCAAGAGGAAGAAAAAAUCAGGAGAAUAUGAUGAAAGACGGAACAAAAAAGUAGUGAAGAUGAUCAUUUUCAUGAGGAAUAAGAGUGUAUAACAAUUUAACCUCGAUGAAAGAUACAAUUUUGACGUCACAUAAGGCAGGGAGAAAAAAGAAGAGACUGAAAAUGGAUAAAAUAAUUCCAUUAUCAUUAUGAAUUAUUGUGAUUCAUUUGAGAAAUUUAUGUAUUACAUUUAACUGAGUCGAUUGACGAGUAAUUGGCUAAAUAAAUGAUGAUCAAAUUACAAAAUCAGAUUGAACAGAGCUUCCUGGGAGGUUAACAAUUGAUUAUUAGAUUGAUAUAAAAAAUGGUGCAAAUAAUAACUAUAAUAAUGAUAAUCUUUAUCAAAAAGUGUCAUCUCUUGUUAUAAAUCAAUACUUAAAAAGGUGUGAACAGCAGCAACAAAUAACAGUUUUAACUCUUUAUAUUUUCCCUCAAAUUACGUCACUCUACAAUUGGAGGCAAAGGAUGAGAGCCGAUCGUCGAUAUCUGUCCAAAGUAUUUUUGGCCUAAAACUAAUUAAAAGGCUCUUAUCAGGAGGUAAAAUUUCAAGCAAAUCGGUAAAAUAAUAUAAUCAAGCAAAUUAUCCACUUGCUCAUGAUGCUCAACUCAUUGGCUUGGAAGAAUCAUUUCAUUAAUAUUAUCACCAUUAAUAUUACCAAGUGUAGUGUUUGAAAGAUUUUUGCAGUCAAACAAUUUUACUGGGAAUCUAUUUUUGCCAUUGUUUUAUAUUUUUGGAGCAACACAGAAAAAAAAGCGUGGAUUAAAAACAUGGGAAUUAAUCUGGAAAUGAACAGAAUGAUGUUGCAAAACUAUCACCAUACCAUCAUUAUGAUUCCCUGAGGCUGAUAAGUUGACUCACAGUGACUAGACAGUUACCUGUCAAUGUUAAAUCUUGGAGAAGUUGUUGAAGCUUACAGCUAAUUACAUUUUUCAUUGAAAUGGCUGACAGGCUGAUACUGAAUAAGUGCUAAUAAUAAUAGAAGUGAAAGUUGGGCAGAAAAAAAGGACAAGCAAAGAGUAAAGGAAAAAGCCAAGUGAAGCCAAGAGUCGAGUAAAAGGAGCAAGAAGAAAGAAUGUCUUCCAUUUUUUGGUCAUUCAUUUUCACCAAGAAGUCAAUGGAAAUAUUUUCUCUUUUCACCUAUUCCGAUCAAAAGUACACAACACAACAAUAAUAAUUAUCUUAUUAUGGACCGAUAGUUUCAUGCUGCUGUUGCUGUUGAUAAUGAAUGAAAACAAGGGACAAAAAUAAUAAAAGUAAAACUAUAUAUUACAAGUGAUUUAAGGGCCAACUUUUAGGGGCUUUGAAAGCAACCAAAUGACUGAAAAGAAGUGAAUACAUAACCCAUAAGGCUGAAGCAAGGCUGAAAUUUUUGGUUCUCUGUCGACCCCAC